GACGUAGGAGGCAAGCGUUAUCCGGAUUUAUUGGGCGUAAAGGGCAAGUAGGCGGCUCUCAAAGUUGGGCGUGACAUCUCCCGGCUCAACCGGGAGGGUGCGUUCAAACUAGAGGACUAGAGGGCAGGAGAGGGAAGUGGAAUUCCCAGUGUAGCGGUGGAAUGCUCAGAUAUUGGGAAGAACACCAGUGGCGAAGGCGGCUUCCUGGCCUGCACCUGACGCUGAGGCUCGAAAGCGUGGGGAGCAAACAGGAUUAGAUACCCGUGUAGU
rnacentral:rRNA from 1 species